GACGAACGCUGGCGGCGUGCUUAACACAUGCAAGUCGAACGGAAAGGCCCUGCUUUUGUGGGGUGCUCGAGUGGCGAACGGGUGAGUAACACGUGAGUAACCUGCCCUUGACUUUGGGAUAACUUCAGGAAACUGGGGCUAAUACCGGAUAGGAGCUCCUGCUGCAUGGUGGGGGUUGGAAAGUUUCGGCGGUUGGGGAUGGACUCGCGGCUUAUCAGCUUGUUGGUGGGGUAGUGGCUUACCAAGGCUUUGACGGGUAGCCGGCCUGAGAGGGUGACCGGCCACAUUGGGACUGAGAUACGGCCCAGACUCCUACGGGAGGCAGCAGUGGGGAAUAUUGCACAAUGGGCGGAAGCCUGAUGCAGCAACGCCGCGUGCGGGAUGACGGCCUUCGGGUUGUAAACCGCUUUCGCCUGUGACGAAGCGUGAGUGACGGUAAUGGGUAAAGAAGCACCGGCUAACUACGUGCCAGCAGCCGCGGUGAUACGUAGGGUGCGAGCGUUGUCCGGAUUUAUUGGGCGUAAGGGGCUCGUAGGUGGUUGAUCGCGUCGGAAGUGUAAUCUUGGGGCUUAACCCUGAGCGUGCUUUCGAUACGGGUUGACUUGAGGAAGGUAGGGGAGAAUGGAAUUCCUGGUGGAGCGGUGGAAUGCGCAGAUAUCAGGAGGAACACCAGUGGCGAAGGCGGUUCUCUGGGCCUUUCCUGACGCUGAGGAGCGAAAGCGUGGGGAGCGAACAGGCUUAGAUACCCUGGUAGUCCACGCUGUAAACGGUGGGUACUAGGUGUGGGGUCCAUUCCACGGGUUCCGUGCCGUAGCUAACGCUUUAAGUACCCCGCCUGGGGAGUACGGCCGCAAGGCUAAAACUCAAAGGAAUUGACGGGGCCCCGCACAAGCGGCGGAGCAUGCGGAUUAAUUCGAUGCAACGCGUAGAACCUUACCUGGGUUUGACAUGGAUCGGGAGUGCUCAGAGAUGGGUGUGCCUCUUUUGGGGUCGGUUCACAGGUGGUGCAUGGCUGUCGUCAGCUCGUGUCGUGAGAUGUUGGGUUAAGUCCCGCAACGAGCGCAACCCCUGUUCACUGUUGCCAGCACGUUAUGGUGGGGACUCAGUGGAGACCGCCGGGGUCAACUCGGAGGAAGGUGGGGAUGACGUCAAGUCAUCAUGCCCCUUAUGUCCAGGGCUUCACGCAUGCUACAAUGGCUGGUACAGAGAGUGGCGAGCCUGUGAGGGUGAGCGAAUCUCGGAAAGCCGGUCUCAGUUCGGAUUGGGGUCUGCAACUCGACCUCAUGAAGUCGGAGUCGCUAGUAAUCGCAGAUCAGCAACGCUGCGGUGAAUACGUUCCCGGGGCU
rnacentral:rRNA from 1 species